UCAGCAUCUUUGAUUAUUGUAAUGUCCUGCCUUCUGUGUGACUAUCUUGCUUUUGAUGAGGAAAGUGGUAAAGUUUAUAAGACAAUGCUUCUUCUAACAGUAAAUCCAAAUCUUAAAAAGUUAAAUGGCAAUUAAGCAUCAAGCAUUUGUUUUAUUUUCUUUAAUACAGAUACAUUUUACUAAUUGAAAGCAAAACAAUACAUAUAAAAGCAGCAAUUCACAGCUUUAGAUAUCAGCUCCAAAUUAAAAUAAGCACCAUUUGCAAUCAGCAAUGUUCAUAUGCCACAUAUAUGUAUGUACAGCUGGUACAAAAUUAAAUCUGAUUACUGUUUGUGUUGUAUGCAUGCUGCAUAUAAAGUAGUUUGUCACUGCCCCCAAAAAGAAUAAAUCCUUAGAAAACUAUGAAUACCGAAAUACACAGAAAUGCUGAAAAUUCAGAAAUACUGAAAAAAUAGAAAGAUUAAUGGUGUGCAAUGAGAAAGAAAAUAAAAAUGACAGAACAGAUACAACCAACAUCUCAUUAGAUGCUGAGUUUUGUACAUUUGAAAUAAAUUUUAUCUAGUAUGCCUUGUUUCUGAUAACAUGUCACUGAGUUAUACAUAACAAGUUCUUGCUUAUUGUUCAGUAGACACAAUUUUUGCAUCUAUUUGUGCAAAAUUAACUGUUGACUCCCACAGAUUUUGUACUCUUUACAAAUGGUGCCUGGAAGACUUUGUGAGCCUUAUGGAAGUUGAGUCAUGGCAACUGGACUUCUUUUCUUAUUGGUUCAAAAUGUUUUGUUGCUUAUCCAAGUAGCUUCUUCAGUUUGAGCAAGUUGGUUAGGACGGCCCCAUAUAUGUCAUCCAGAGAAGUUUCAUUUCUCACCUAGUCUCAUUAGAUGAGUAGGCAGAGAGUUAUUGGGAAGUACAUUUUACAGCUCCUAAACCCUUUAUCUUAAAUGGGUCCUUAAGUAUAGCCUCCCCAGAGAACAGGUAAAGUAGUCUUAAUCUUUCUGGGAACCGAUGAAAGAGCAGCAUAAAAAAUUAUGGACAGGUUGGGCCUGAGGCCUCCAUCUUUAAUGAGGGAAGAAUUUUCCACUUUGGAAUAAAUGGAUUUCUUCACUCCUCUCUCAAACCAUCUACCUUCUCUGUCCAAAAUGUGAAUAUUAUUGUCCUUUAAAAAGUCUCUUCUUUUUUUUGUAAUGAACAUAUGCUGCUGAUUCUGCUCCUGUGUUGUUGCUUCUCUUGUACUGAGCCAUUCUCUUGUGUAAAGGCUACUUGGUUUCUCCAAUGUAGAGCUCUGAGCCCUCCUCACUAAGCUGGACUGCAUGUACUACAUUACUUUUCUGUAAUUAUUUUAUUUUUAUUUUUCUGUUCUUCUAAACCAGGAAAAAUAUACAUAAAUGAAUGAGCUAAAAGAGGGAUGGGUUUUGGCAGUGCCAACAUUCCUUUCUGUAUCCAGUCAUCACUAAUUGAGAUUCCAAAAACUGGUGCUGUGCUUCCCUACUGUUUUCAGUCUCCUUACAACCAGAGAGGAGACCAGACAGUUAUGAGCCUGAGGAGCCAGCAGGCAGAAACCUACAGCAACUUCAAAAGAAAAUCUGACUGAGCAGAUUUCUCCUGUUAGUGUUUCUGAGUUUCCAGACAAGAUAACUGGCAUAAUUUUCUGGUAGCCGUCUGCUUCACUGGUUAUCUAGUCUUUUUCAUAUGAAAAACACAAAUAUGAUAAGGGAAUUCAACCAAAAGAUAAGAAAUCAAGGAAGUUUCAGAUCAUCAAACAGGUAAUUGUAUAACUACCUAUAUCUUUAGCCAUCUUAUAAAUAAAUAUGGCAAGAACACCAUAUUUAUAGUAUAAGAAUUUCUAAAAAAUAUUUUCUUUCGAAACAAUUUUCAAAAGCAUAAGUCCUGGUAAGAAAGAAAUGUUGUGGAAAUUUUCUUCAUGGCCUUAUAGCAAACUAUUAAUUCUAUAAAAAGGAAUGGCUGAAAUGUAAAAUGGGAACUACAAGGCUGCCCUGUGAUUGCUAGCUGAGUCUAAAUGAUACUAGCUGCAUUCUUUCAGAACCAAAGCUAAUCAAGUCAACACUUAUAAAAUCUUACAUUACCAUUCAAUUAUCAGUUCCUGCCUUUCCAUGAUACCACUUGAAAUUCUGUAUAAAAUUUGUUAUGAAAAGGCAUGCUAUUCGCUAUGCCUUCAUAGUACAUUGAGGGCAAGAUUUGCUCCAUCAUUAGGAGUAGUGCCUAGGAGGUACAAAUAUACAAUUAUCAAGAUAGAUGAGGCAAGGCAAAUGUUGGAGAUGUGGCAAUAAAGAUGCGACAUAUUUUCAUAUUUGGUGGAAUUGUAAAAAAGUAAAGGCAUUUUGGAUUAUGAUUUGG